rnacentral:rRNA from 1 species
AGAGAGAGACAUGCGCGCAUAUCAAUAAGCGGAGGAAAAGAAACUAACAAGGAUUCCCCUAGUAACGGCGAGUGAAGCGGGAAGAGCUCAAAUUUGAAAUCUUAAAGGGUUUCCCUUUACGAAUUGUAGUUUAAAGAAGUGUUUUCUGUUGAGGUUUUGGUAAAAGUUCUUUGGAAUAGGACAUCAUAGAGGGUGAGAAUCCCGUAUUUGACCUUUACUUUCAACUUUGUGAUACACUUUCAGAGAGUCGGAUUGUUUGGGAAUGCAGUCCAAAAUGGGUGGUAAAUUUCAUCUAAAGCUAAAUAUUGGCGAGAGACCGAUAGCGAACAAGUACCGUGAGGGAAAGAUGAAAAGAACUUUGAAAAGAGAGUUAAACAGUACGUGAAAUUGUCAAAAGGGAAGCGUUUGACACCAGUGUUGUUUUUCUGAAAAUCAAUUAAAGAACUGUUUAUGCUAAGUUGUUUAGACUUUAUCAGCUAUCUGUUUAGUUUUGAGCUUUUCUUUAAUGCACUUUUCAGUUAACAAGUCAACAUCAAUUUCUUUUGCUGUAAAAAAGCUUGAGGAAGGUGGCUUGAGAUUCGUCUUAAGUGUUUAUAGCCUCUUGCCUAUGCAGUCGGAGAGAUUGAGGUCUGCAGCGUAGAUCCUUCGGGGCUAAAUGCAUUUGUGCUAAGUUAUAGCAUUUUAUAGACAACUUGUUGACUAUGAUUUGUCUUGUAGCUUACUCGCUUAUGUUAUUUUACCUACGCUUAGGAUGUUGACGCAUGAGAUAUACGC